AGAUAAUGCAUCUUAUGUGGAGCGCUUUAAUUUUAUUCUUUUCUUGGAGGAAGGAUUGCUUAUUCAAGACAAUGGAGUGAAGAAUUUUUAUUCUUUUCUUGAUGCAAUUAAGGGGUGAUUGAUUUACUUCAUCAGGAAAUUAAAAUGGCUAAGAGAGAUUACGCAGCUGCUGGAAAAAUGAGUAUGAGAGAUUAUGCAGCUACUGGUAAAGAGUUGAUGAUCUCUUCUACCACUCUCGGACAACGACGACGACGAGGUGUUGAGGAGGAGGAAGAGUAUGAAAAGCUUCAGGGUAUUGUAAGAGAGACCAACGAGGUACUUACGGAUUUAGAAUGGCGAAAUUUGCGAGGUGAAAGAGUGUGGAGGGAGUUUACCCUGAUUAAAGAAUUAUAUUACAAAGCAGAUGACGUGUUGGAUGAGUUGUCAUAUGAGGAAUAGUGGGGACAAUUCCUCCGUAUAAAUUAAGUGGACCAUCAAUGGAAGAGAGUUGGGCAUUGGUCAGGAGAAAUGUAUUUGGGAGAGGAAGUGCAGUAUUGGGGACUCCAAAUCUAGUCAGAAUAGGAUUGAAACUUGUUGAAGAAUGCCAAGGUUUUCCGUUAGCUUUAACAAUUCUAGGUGCCAUGAUGCACUUCAAGACAAAUAUGCAAGAGUGGACAACUGUCCUAAAUACUAUGAAAGCACUACAUAGAAAUGGAAAUCCACCUAUUGAUUCCACGCGGAUUAUUUGUUACAAUUACUUGCCGUCACCAUUGAAACAAUGCUUUUCAUACUACUCGGUAUUUCCUAAGAAUUUUAUAAUUGAGAAGAAGAAAUUGAUUCAACUAUGGAUGGCUCAAGGUUUCCUAGAACAAGAAGCAUCAUCAUCGUCGUCCGUUAAUAAUAAUGGAGAUGGAGAUCAUGAUGAAGUAAUAUUAAUAGGGGAGGAGGAGGAUAUAGGGAAUGCAUAUUUUAAAUCAUUGGUGCUCAGGUCCUUCCUUCGAGUUGUCAAAUUCGAUGAUAAUGGUGAACCAUUAGAGUGCAAACUUUAGAAUAAGAGAUCUUCUGGAGUUUGCUCUAUUGAUUGACACAACAGGCAGCUUGUUAAUGUUAUUUUAAUCCAUUCCUACCCAAACUCAGAUAGAAUCAGCCAAACGUGGCCAACUCAACUCAAGGAUCCAAUCAUGAUCCUGGAUCUGAGUUUUUAAUCCUUGGCAAGCCCCACCUUCCUUUAUCCAUAUGUAAAAUUUGAACAACCAAAAGGAGCUUUCCAUGUGUCAGAACAGAGCCUUCAAACCCAAUUGAAAUGUCAAAAAAGGGGCAGGGUAGUUUAAUUGCUGAAAAGGGGAAAGCCAAAUACAAAGUGGACAUAUGGUUGAGUUGAACCACUGAGUUGGGCUUGUGCACAAUCUAGGUUGCACUUCUCUAUCCAAUGGUUCAGGUUGGUUACAUCAUCCUCUAUUUUUCUAUCUUUUUGUUUAUCUACUUAUCCUUCCUUUGUUCUUCUAAACUCCUUAAUUUUUCCCCUUUCUAGUUUUUCUUUUAGAGGGUGUUUUGUUGAUCUGAUGUCAUUU